AGAGUUUGAUUAUGGCUCAGAUUGAACGCUGGCGGAAUGCUUUACACAUGCAAGUCGAACGGGCUUAAGGGGCUUGCUCCCUAGGUUAUUGGCGAACGGGUGAGUAAUAUAUCGGAACGUAUCCAAUAAUGGGGGAUAACUAAUCGAAAGGUUGGCUAAUACCGCAUACGCCCUACGGGGGAAAGCAGGGGAUCUUCGGACCUUGCGUUAAUGGAGCGGCCGAUAUCUGAUUAGCUAGUUGGUGGGGUAAAGGCCCACCAAGGCGACGAUCAGUAGCUGGUCUGAGAGGACGACCAGCCACACUGGAACUGAGACACGGUCCAGACUCCUACGGGAGGCAGCAGUGGGGAAUUUUGGACAAUGGGCGAAAGCCUGAUCCAGCCAUUCCGCGUGAGUGAAGAAGGCCUUCGGGUUGUAAAGCUCUUUCGCAAGGAAAGAAAACUUAGCUAAUAACACUAGCUGAGGAUGACGGUACCUUGAUAAGAAGCACCGGCUAACUACGUGCCAGCAGCCGCGGUAAUACGUAGGGUGCGAGCGUUAAUCGGAAUUACUGGGCGUAAAGCGUGCGCAGGCUGUUUUGUAAGUCAGAUGUGAAAUCCCUGGGCUCAACCUAGGAACUGCGUUUGAAACUACAAGGCUAGAGUGUAGCAGAGGGGGGUAGAAUUCCACGUGUAGCAGUGAAAUGCGUAGAGAUGUGGAGGAAUACCAAUGGCGAAGGCAGCCCCCUGGGUUAACACUGACGCUCAUGCACGAAAGCGUGGGGAGCAAACAGGAUUAGAUACCCUGGUAGUCCACGCCCUAAACGAUGUCUACUAGUUGUUGGGAGAGUAAAAUCUCUUAGUAACGCAGCUAACGCGUGAAGUAGACCGCGUGGGGAUAACGUCGACAAGAUUAAAACUCAAAGGAAUUGACGG
rnacentral:rRNA from 1 species